rnacentral:rRNA from 3 species
UUAAAACUUUUAACAACGGAUCUCUUGGUUCUGGCAUCGAUGAAGAACGCAGCGAAAUGCGAUAAGUAAUGUGAAUUGCAGAAUUCAGUGAAUCAUCGAAUCUUUGAACGCACAUUGCGCCCCCUGGUAUUCCGGGGGGCAUGCCUGUUCGAGCGUCAUUU